AGUGAACGCUGGCGGUAGGCCUAACACAUGCAAGUCGAACGGCAGCACAGUAAGAGCUUGCUCUUACGGGUGGCGAGUGGCGGGCGGGUGAGGAAUACAUCCGAAUCUACUUUUUCGUGGGGGAUAACGUAGGGAAACUUACGCUAAUACCGCAUACGACCUACGGGUGAAAGCAGGGGAUCUUCGGCCCUUGCGCGAUUGAAUGAGCCGAUGUCGGAUUAGCUAGUUGGCGGGGUAAAGGCCCACCAAGGCGACGAUCCGUAGCUGGUCUGAGAGGAUGAUCAGCCACACUGGAACUGAGACACGGUCCAGACUCCUACGGGAGGCAGCAGUGGGGAAUAUUGGACAAUGGGCGCAAGCCUGAUCCAGCCAUACCGCGUGGGUGAAGAAGGCCUUCGGGUUGUAAAGCCCUUUUGUUGGGAAAGAAAAGCAGCAGGUUAAUACCCCGCUGUUCUGACGGUACCCAAAGAAUAAGCACCGGCUAACUUCGUG
rnacentral:rRNA from 1 species